UUUUCCCCUUUUUAAUCCCCGUUUUACAGGCGAUGGAACUUACCAGAGACCAAAUAGCUAGAGAAUGGCUGAACUGGGUUUUGAAUCUAGUAAAUCUUGACCCCAGAGCUCUCCAGCCUAAAGAAAAAGCAUGCUGAUCUGAACUCUGGAAGAGAACCUUUGUCAAUCAAUAUCUAGCGUUGUCCCAGGAAGAGAGAUUCAAUGUGUAGCAGACACUGGAAAGCCUACCUUAUAUAAGUGCAAGGGGAUCUGCGCUGACCCUGCCCCAUUUAUUCAAGUGAGUAAAUUCCCCUUGCCAUGACCUAUUAUCUGUCAAGAAAUCUCAUCACAAAUACCAUUUUCUAAGUACCAUAAUAACUGAGAACAACUAUGAAGAAAAACAGAUAACAGAUAAUAGUUGCUGUGAAAAUAUGGCCAAAUUGUAAAUUAACAGUUUAAUAUGCUGGAUUUAAAAUCACCACACAAUGAAUUUAUAAUUGGUAUGAAACUCUUAAGUAGAUCUGAUCAUAUCUAAAAAAACUGGUAAAAAUUAGUUUCUGAACUUUGCCAGAAUCAAAGAUUAGGAUUCUUAUUGACCCAAAAAGACAGAUAAAUGAAGAAUAUCCAAGUUAAGAAAGUUAAACAGCCUCUCAAUCUACAUCAGUUUAUCAGUAUGUUUCAUGCAUUAAAUUUGUUCAAAGAAUAAAUAAACUUAAUUGAUGAAAAAGGUUUAUAUGCUUUUCAGCAAUUGUAUUCACACUGUGUUUCUUAUUUGUUUUUAUACCAUGAUAGAAUAAUAGGAUGGAAAACAUGAGACUCUGCACUAUUUUGAAUAAUUCACAAAAAAUUUUGGAAUAGAAUAUAGAUAGUUUAAGUUAAUUAGAUUGGCCCUAUGAACCAAUAAUCUAAUUUUCAAAGUAACAUGGAAGAAGUAAUUUUGGGUCACUAGCAAAAAAAUUAAAGAAAAAGCUGGAAAUAGUUUAUAAAGAGGGAAAAAAUUUUUAAACUGAAUAAUCUUUA
rnacentral:lncRNA from 1 species